AUUGAACGCUGGCGGCAGGCCUAACACAUGCAAGUCGAGCGAGCGGCGGACGGGUGAGUAAUGUAUGGGGACUGCCCGAUAGAGGGGGAUAACUACUGGCAAAGGUAGCUAAUACCGCAUACUAUCGGAUAACCCAUAUGGGAUUAGCUAGUUGGUGAGGUAAUGGCUCACAAAGGCGACGAGCCCUAGCUGGUCUGAGAGGAUGAGCAGCCACACUGGUACUGAGACACGGCCCAGACUCCUACGGAGGCAGCAGUGGGGAAUAUUGCACAAUGGGCGCAAGCCUGAUGCAGCCAUGCCGCGUGUAUGAAGAAGGCCCUAGGGUUGUAAAGUACUUUCAGGCGGGAGGCGUUACCGGCAGAAGAAGCACCGGCUAACUCCGUGCCAGCAGCCGCGGUAAUUC
rnacentral:rRNA from 1 species